AAGCGUUGUUCGGAAUUAUUGGGCGUAAAGCGCGUGUAGGCGGUCUGUUAAGUCUGAUGUGAAAGCCCCGGGCUCAACCCGGGAAGUGCAUUGGAAACUGGCAGACUUGAGUACGGGAGAGGGUAGUGGAAUUCCGAGUGUAGGGGUGAAAUCCGUAGAUAUUCGGAGGAACACCGGUGGCGAAGGCGGCUACCUGGACCGAUACUGACGCUGAGACGCGAAAGCGUGGGGAGCAAACAGGAUUAGAUACCCUGGUAGUCCACGCCGUAAACGAUGGGUACUAGGUGUUGCGGGUAUUGACCCCUGCAGUGCC
rnacentral:rRNA from 1 species